ACUGCAGAAGGUGCUCUCUAGUUAGAAGUGGGCUACAUUGGAGUUUCUUUGAAGUGUAACUUACUGGUUUGGACGUGGUUGGCUUCUUCCACCCUUCACUCUUGACCUUAAGACAGCCUCCAGGUUCCUCCCUACAGUCUUUGCUUGUUCCUGCCAUUUUGGGUGAACUCUUACUCUUUAUUUAAAAUUUUUAAUAUCAUCUCUUUGUCAAUGGAAUUAAGCCCAACUAUCAUAGAAUGACAACACACACUAUGGACAAAUCAUUCUUUCCCUGAGAUUACUCAUCUACAAGGAAUCCAUCAAGUUUUCCGGACAGAAUCUACAAAGACAUCUAUCAAUUGACAGGAUAUGGUGAAGAAACAGGAGUCGAGACAAGAAAGAAAUAGCACACUUUUUUAAAAAAAUGAAAGAAUCUGAAUAAGUUACCAUUCAAGAAGGAAACCACUGUCUUCGUGCCCCACUCUGAAUCAAGCCCCAGCUGUUGUGCUCAAGUUCAAAAACGAGAGGCUUAACUAGAAUCAACUCCAUUUUUUCUCAAAUCGUUCGACUUUUCACCUUCCUGUUGGAACAUGCUCCUGACUCUCACAGAUGAACUAAACUGGUGGUCAGAGAAGGAGAAGGUGAAUAAUAAA